rnacentral:tRNA from 10 species
GUCCCGUUCGUCUAUCGGUUAGGACGUCAGGUUUUCAACCUGAAAAGAGGGGUUCGAUUCCCCUACGGGAUGCCA